rnacentral:tRNA from 1 species
GCCGAAGUGGCGGAAUGGGUAGACGCGCUGGUCUCAAAAACCAGUGGGGUUUCCCCGUGCCGGUUCGAGUCCGGCCUUCGGCACCA